rnacentral:rRNA from 1 species
UGGGGAAUAUUGGGCAAUGGACGCAAGUCUGACCCAGCGACGCCGCGUGCGGGACGAAGGCCUUCGGGUUGUAAACCGCUUUCAGUAGGGAAGAAGCGAAAGUGACGGUACCUACAAAAGAAGCACCGGCUAACUAUGUG